GGAAGGCAUUCCUCUUUCUUUUCUCAAUCAGAGCGAUGCAGUCUGGUGUGUACGAAAGACACCCAUCACUGUGUCUCAGUGCAAAUCCGUGAAACGUGCGGCACUUUGCAUGGCUCGAGUUUUAUGGAGAAAUACCGAGGUUCGCUUUCGGAGCGGGGUUCGUAUUUCAAUCAUCUGAAGCUUGGAAUCUGUUCCACUUUCUCAUGAGAUCAGGUCGAGGCAGCAGUCGAGCUUCUUCCCUAAGUGAGCUCGACUGCGCUGUGAUUACGUAAGCAGCGUUUCGGAAAUGCGUGGCUGUUUCACGUGUUUUUCCUCCCAGACUGCUUGCUGUUGUGCAAUUGAGGAAAAGUACCUCAUGGGUAGGAACUGCCAGUCAUUCAAACGGAGUAAAGAGAGUUCAGAAUACGAUAACGCCGGCAUCGAGUGUCUCUUUAGACGUCAUGUUAGGGGAAACGUGCACGCAACCAACUUCUCUGGGAUUCAGCACAGGGUGCGAGCGCGUACUGAAGGGCAUUAUGACCUUGAACCGUGGCUGUGUCAGUCCAGUCCAGUCCAGAACAAACCAGAGUUUCGAGAUUGUAUUGUCUACUCCUCGUACUGGGUGAAAUUCAACCUUGCAGGACCAAAAGGCUCAAAAACAGACCUAAUCAUCAUUCUGGUCAUCACUAGCAAGCAUGGUGGACAAAAAAAAAAAUGAUUUAUAUAGCAAGAAAUGUGCCGGGGAGCAAGACAGAUGAUUGCUGACUGGAGAAAAUGUAUGACACAGAGCAUCAGAAGAUAUCGUGCGUCUGAUGAUGAACAACGAUUCCAGGUCCUUGUGAGGAACAUCAUAAAAUCUCAUCUUGUCCUGUUAUACUGUUUUAUCCUCCUGCUUUUCAGAAAUGACGCAACAAGCGUUAUCUCUUUAAUGCAUCACUAUAUAUAUAUAUAUAUAUGGGGGGGGGUAAAUAUUUUUUUCUUCUCCUCUAUCUCUGGUCAUGUGCUUGUAAUGAUGAAUUUUCUAUCUGGGUUACUACACGGUGUAACGGCCGUGAGUUGUGCUCCCGAUCGUGUUGAAUCUGAAAUGCCAGAGCUCCUGACACCUAUAGCUGCUCCUAAUGAGUGACACUUGAAAGAUCUCGCCGCAUUCAUCAUCUCCUUGACCUUUCCCCAAGAGCGCCGAAGUAUCCAUCUUCAUGCUGACAUUAAUUAUAUCUGAACUGUCAAGAACUGUAUUUUAGAAAGGAUGCGCUAGGUCUCAUUUAGGGCUUUGAAACAGAUGCGUGUUUAAAAUGCACUGCAAGAAAAAUACGACAUCUCGGCGAGUGAACAUAUCUGGAAUGUGGCGGGGCAGCAUGGGAAGCUUUUCAUUUCUGGAAAGAAGCCUGAAAAUGUCUGGGAGACGACCGGAUUUUUGGACAUGAGCCACUUCAUGCAGAACGUGCCUCAGCGCCCAGGGUAUGAUCCAUUCAUUUUCAUUGCUGGGGAAAAGAAGAGAAAAAAAAAAACACACACACACACACACACUUCUUCACCAAACUCUCAGCUUCUUUAUUCAUGUUUUUCUUCAUCUAGAAUUGAUAGAAAUUCCC
ensembl:lncRNA